UAAAACGUAGGGGACAAGCGUUAUCCGGAUUUACUGGGCGUAAAGCGCACGUAGGCAGUUUGAUAAGUUGGACGUGAAAGCUCCCGGCUUAACUGGGAGAGGUCGUACAAAACUGUCAGACUAGAGUCUGGAAGAGGAGAGCGGAAUUCCCGGUGUAGUGGUGGAAUGCGUAGAUAUCGGGAGGAACACCAGUGGCGAAAGCGGCUCUCUGGUCCAGUACUGACGCUGAGGUGCGAAAGCGUGGGGAGCGAACGGGAUUAGAUACCCCGGUAGUCCACGCCGUAAACGAUGGAUACUAGGUGUAGGCGGAUAGAAACCCGUCUGUGCCGAAGCCAACGCGUUAAGUAUCCCGCCUGGGGAGUACGGCCGCAAGGUUA
rnacentral:rRNA from 1 species